AGUGAACGCUGGCGGUAGGCCUAACACAUGCAAGUCGAACGGCAGCACAGUAAGAGCUUGCUCUUACGGGUGGCGAGUGGCGGACGGGUGAGGAAUACAUCGGAAUCUACUUUUUCGUGGGGGAUAACGUAGGGAAACUUACGCUAAUACCGCAUACGACCUACGGGUGAAAGCAGGGGAUCUUCGGACCUUGCGCGAUUGAAUGAGCCGAUGUCGGAUUAGCUAGUUGGCGGGGUAAAGGCCCACCAAGGCGACGAUCCGUAGCUGGUCUGAGAGGAUGAUCGGCCACACUGGAACUGAGACACGGUCCAGACUCCUACGGGAGGCAGCAGUGGGGAAUAUUGGACAAUGGGCGCAAGCCUGAUCCAGCCAUACCGCGUGGGUGAAGAAGGCCUUCGGGUUGUAAAGCCCUUUUGUUGGGAAAGAAAAGCAGCAGGUUAAAACCCCGAUGUUCUGACGGUACCCAAAGAAUAAGCACCGGCUAACUUCGUG
rnacentral:rRNA from 1 species